UGGAGGCAGCUAAAUGCUCUUUUGUGCCUGCAGCUCUAAGGAGGCUGUGAUGCAUGCGAAGGAAAGUGACUGACUUAACUCAUUGGGAUUCAGGGAACGACCUGCCCUCUUUUGGGGGAAGAAAAAAAAAAGUGUGUAUGUGUGUGUGUGUUCGUGUGUGUGUAUGUGUGUGAGAGAGAGAGAGAGCGAGAGAGAGAGACACAGAGGGGAGGGGGGACUCACACAGAGUCCUGCUUUUCUGAGCUGAGAGCUGCUGGUUCCCAAGCAGAAACUAUGAGGAGAAACACAGCUUCGUGUCUCUUUGCUGCAUUUACAAUAAUGAAAUCACUACUAUUUUUAUUCCUGCUAACCGGUCGGUUUUGCUUGCAUCCGCUCUAAGCCAUGGACGACGGGAACAAACAAGUACUAAAAAAAAAAAAAAAGGAGAGGAAAAAACCCCCAAACACACCUAACCACGCUGGAAUGAGGAUUACUCACUUUAGUGCUGCCUAUCAUCUCCUCCCAAUCAGUCUUCUGCCGAGUUACUUAGAUAAGAAACCAGAACCGCAAGGCAGGAAGGGCGGCGGAGCGGAGCGAAGCGCGGAGGCAGCAGCCGUGGAGCGGGGCUCCCGCGGGCGCGGAGGAGUGCCGGCUGCCGGCGAAGCGGGGGACAGAGGGCUGUUUUCGACAUCAAUUUGUGGGCUUAGCUGGGCUGAAAAGGCAAUUUUCUGGCACGGGAGGGGUGCUCUCCUGCGUGUGUACAUACACAUCCUCAGGCAGCGUGGUCCUGCUCGAGUCGCUGUGUUGCAACGUGAGUCCACCCAGCUUGAAGGAAUGCGGUGGCCAAAACAGCUUUCCAGCUGGUUUGUUUUUUGGGGAUUUCCUCCCUCCCUCCCCCCCCGCCUCCCCCCCGCACUCCCCCCAAGUGUACAUGUGAUUAGUGGUACUUUUCCCUGGCAGGAUUUAAUUUAAAUAAACUAAGAUCAA